AUUUAUAACUCAAAAUAUUUUUAAUCCCUUUUUACCCUUCAUUAUUUACUCACGCUGAUUAUACUUGUUCCCACCAACUACUAUUAGAUCUGAGAGUCAACAACCACCACCAACUAGAAGAAUUACUUCCUCCAUCAACAUUUCCUUCUCCAUCUUCGCUUUCAUCGUAUCGAUUUAGUGAUCGGCGAUUCAGUUUUUAAAGAACGAACAAUUGGAAGCGGCCUGAUUAUAGUGAAGUUUUCAGUUUUCAAAAGAACGGCCACUAUUCAUGCUCCGACGACCUCCGUUUAUGCUCCGACAACCGGAGGAAGAGCGACGGGUUUUGCUCCACAAUUCUCACCUCUUCUUUUAGUUGUUCUUGAACUUGUGUUUUUGAGAUGGGUACUUCAUUUUCUAUGAAAGACAAAAAUGAUUAGUUUGAUUUUUGAUAAUUAAAGGUUAAUUAGUAUACUAGAUUUUAUGAUAAUUUUAGUAGUUGGAUGCUUUCUUUAUUUAUUAUUUUAUUUUUUUAAAAGAAGUUGGAUGCUUUAUUUGUAUAAGGAUGAUUGAUUUUUCAACUAUUCGUUUGUUUAUUA